GACGAACGUUGGCGGCGUGCUUAACACAUGCAAGUCGAACGGUAAGGCCCUUCGGGGUACACGAGUGGCGAACGGGUGAGUAACACGUGGGUGAUCUGCCCUGCACUUCGGGAUAAGCCUGGGAAACUGGGUCUAAUACCGGAUAGGACUCCGGACUGCAUGGUCUGGGGUGGAAAGCUUUUGCGGUGUGGGAUGGGCCCGCGGCCUGUCAGCUUGUUGGUGGGGUGAUGGCCUACCAAGGCGACGACGGGUAGCCGGCCUGAGAGGGUGACCGGCCACACUGGGACUGAGAUACGGCCCAGACUCCUACGGGAGGCAGCAGUGGGGAAUAUUGCACAAUGGGCGCAAGCCUGAUGCAGCGACGCCGCGUGAGGGAUGACGGCCUUCGGGUUGUAAACCUCUUUCAGCAUCGACGAAGCGAAAGUGACGGUAGGUGCAGAAGAAGGACCGGCCAACUACGUGCCAGCAGCCGCGGUAA
rnacentral:rRNA from 1 species